rnacentral:rRNA from 1 species
UCUUCCCCUUCGGGGGACAAAGUGACAGGUGGUGCAUGGUUGUCGUCAGCUCGUGUCGUGAAAUGUUGGGUUAAGUCCCGCAACGAGCGCAACCCUUAAGCUUAGUUGCCAGCAUUAAGUUGGGCACUCUAAGUUGACUGCCGGUGACAAACCGGAGGAAGGUGGGGAUGACGUCAAAUCAUCAUGCCCCUUAUGAUUUGGGCUACACACGUGCUACAAUGGACAAUACAAAGGGCAGCUAAACCGUGAGGUCAUGCAAAUCCCAUAAAGUUGUUCUCAGUUCGGAUUGUAGUCUGCAACUCGACUACAUGAAGCUGGAAUCGCUAGUAAUCGUAGAUCAGCAUGCUACGGUGAAUACGUUCCCGGGUCUUGUACACACCACCCGUCACACCACGAGAGUCUGUAACACCCGAAGCCGGUGGAGUAACCAUUUAUGGAGCUAGCCGUCGAAGGUGGGACAAAUGAUUGGGGUGAAGUCGUAACAAGGUAGCCGUAUCGGAAG